rnacentral:misc_RNA from 1 species
UCGUAACAAGGUUUCCGUAGGUGAACCUGCGGAAGGAUCAUUACCGAGUGAGGGCCCUCUGGGUCCAACCUCCCACCCGUGUUUAUUUUACCUUGUUGCUUCGGCGAGCCUGCCUUUUGGCUGCCGGGGGACGUCUGUCCCCGGGUCCGCGCUCGCCGAAGACACCUUAGAACUCUGUCUGAAGAUUGUAGUCUGAGAUUAAAUAUAAAUUAUUUAAAACUUUCAACAACGGAUCUCUUGGUUCCGGCAUCGAUGAAGAACGCAGCGAAAUGCGAUACGUAAUGUGAAUUGCAGAAUUCAGUGAAUCAUCGAGUCUUUGAACGCACAUUGCGCCCUCUGGUAUUCCGGAGGGCAUGCCUGUCCGAGCGUCAUUGCUGCCCUCAAGCACGGCUUGUGUGUUGGGCUCCGUCCUCCUUCCGGGGGACGGGCCCGAAAGGCAGCGGCGGCACCGCGUCCGGUCCUCAAGCGUAUGGGGCUUUGUCACCCGCUUUGUAGGACUGGCCGGCGCCUGCCGAUCAACCAAACUUUUUUCCAGGUUGACCUCGGAUCAGGUAGGGAUACCCGCUGAACCUAAGCAUAUC